GAUGAACGCUAGCGAUAGGCUUAACACAUGCAAGUCGAGGGGCAGCAUGGUCUUAGCUUGCUAAGACUGAUGGCGACCGGCGCACGGGUGCGUAACGCGUAUGCAACUUGCCUCACAGAGGGGGAUAACCCGUCGAAAGACGGACUAAUACCGCGUACACUCCAUCUUGGGCAUCCAAGGUAGAGGAAAUGAAAUUCGCUGUGAGAUAGGCAUGCGUCCCAUUAGCUAGUUGGUGAGGUAACGGCUCACCAAGGCGACGAUGGGUAGGGGAACUGAGAGGUUGAACCCCCACACUGGUACUGAGACACGGACCAGACUCCUACGGGAGGCAGCAGUGAGGAAUAGUGGUCAAUGGGCGAGAGCCUGAACCAGCCAAGUCGCGUGAAGGAUGACUGUCUUAUGGAUUGUAAACUUCUUUUAUACGGGAAUAACAAGAGUCACGUGUGGCUCCCUGCAUGUACCGUAUGAAUAAGCAUCGGCUAACUCCGUG
rnacentral:rRNA from 1 species